GCCUGAUCUAUUUCAUACUUAAAAUAUCUUUUAAAUCUAAAAGCAGAAAAAAUGAGGAAAAAGGAAGAGGAAGAAGGAAAAGAAACUGAUAUAAAAUCUGUCUCUUCUAGCAACAUCUACUCUGAAGAUGCCUUACCUGGAGAUUUCUACAAUCCAUGGUGCAAGGCAUCCAGCAGCCUGGACUGAUGGAUGAGGAGAUGCUCAAUUAGUCCCAGGAGGCUUUCAUCCUAGAAAGGCCUUUAUCAGGGCUUCGGUCCUGGCAGCUGCAGUACCUGGUUACCUCCUGUGGAGGAUGUGCAUACCUUGUUGAAACUGCCUGCUCCUCCCCUGCUUUGUGCAGCAGCUCUAGCUGCUCUGGUCUCUCAGUGGUGGCUGCAUGUCCCCUGUGGAACAGGACCAGCACCACCUGGUCAAGAGCAAGAGACAAGAGUGGACUUUCCUAACACAGAAAGAGACACAGAGCUAGACAAAACGAGGAAACAGGAAUAUGUCACAAGUGAACAGGACAAAACCACAGCAAGAGAUCUAAGUGAAAUGGCUAUAAAUAAUACGUCUGAUUGAGAAUUUAAAGAAUGAUCAUAAAGAUACUCACUGGACUUGAGAAAAGAGUGGAGGACAUCAGUGAGACCCUUAACAAAGGGAGAAUCAGCAAAAGGAUGACAG
rnacentral:lncRNA from 1 species